AUUGAACGCUGGCGGCAGGCCUAACACAUGCAAGUCGAGCGAGCGGCGGACGGGUGAGUAAUGUCUGGGAAUCUGCCCGAUAGAGGGUGAUAACUACUGGAAACGGUGGCUAAUACCGCAUACUAUCCGAUGAACCCAUCUGGGAGUAGCUAGUAGGUGGGGUAAAGGCUCACCUAGGCGACGAUCUCUAGCUGGUCUGAGAGGAUGAUCAGCCACACUGGGACUGAGACACGGCCCAGAAUACUACGGGAGGCAGCAGUGGUGAAUAGUGCACAAUGGGCGCAAGCCUGAUGCAGCCAUGCCGCGUGGAUGAAGAAGGCCUUAGGGUUGUAAAGUACUUUCAGCGGGGAGGCGUUACCCGCAGAAGAAGCACCGGCUAACUCCGUGCCAGCAGCCGCGGUAAUAC
rnacentral:rRNA from 1 species